UACGUAGGGUGCAAGCGUUAAUCGGAAUUACUGGGCGUAAAGCGUGCGCAGGCGGUUUUGUAAGUUUGUCGUGAAAGCCCCGGGCUCAACCUGGGAAUUGCAUCUGUGACUGCAUAGCUAGAGUACGGUAGAGGGGGAUGGAAUUCCGCGUGUAGCAGUGAAAUGCGUAGAUAUGCGGAGGAACACCGAUGGCGAAGGCAAUCCCCUGGACCUGUACUGACGCUCAUGCACGAAAGCGUGGGGAGCAAACAGG
rnacentral:rRNA from 1 species